rnacentral:misc_RNA from 1 species
GAUGAAGAACGCAGCGAAAUGCGAUAAGUAAUGUGAAUUGCAGAAUUCAGUGAAUCAUCGAAUCUUUGAACGCACCUUGCACUCCUUGGUAUUCCGAGGAGUACGCCUGUUCGAGUGUUAUGAAGCUCUAAAAACGCAAUUGGCUUAAAACCUGAUUUUUGUUUUGGAUUUGAACUUUGCCGUGUUAUAACGGCUGGUUUUAAAAGUAUUAGCUGGUACUAGAACGAAUUGGUUCUACUCAACGUGAUAAUUAUCUGAUCGUUGAGGACAUUCCUUUCACGAGGAAUGGCCAUAGUAAAUUCAAUGGACUGCUUCUAAUCUGGCUUUAAUUCUUUAUUGGAUUAACCACUUUUCAAAUCUGACCUCGAAUCAGGUGGGACUACCCGCUGAACUUAAGCAUAUCAAUAAGCGGAGGA